GCGGAUCACUCUGGUCUCUUCUGCUCUCUCUUUUCUCUUCAGAAAUUAAAGCAGAGCUGCAUCUGAGAGUGGAAAAGGUCCCCCUUCUGAAAACCUAUGAUCAAGUUCCGCACAAAGGACUCUUAGAAAAGCCUGGUAACUACAGAAUGAGAAGUAGAAUCCUGUGAUGGGUUAAAAAAUGGUUAUAACGUUCUUGGAUGCUGUGGAACCUGGCUGCUGCAACACUGCGUGUAUGUGAUUUAUAAAAGGGUGUGCAUAAGUAUAAAGAAAUUCCACCUUCUACUGCAACAGAAGACUUAUCAGUGCCAGAUUCCUAAAACAGCAUCUUGCCACAGCUGUACAUCUUACAGCACUGGAGCACCAGAUGGACAUUCCAGAAAUAAACACAUAUUUUGGUUCUGGAUAAAGUUCUUGGGAAAGGCCAAGGAAGAUAGAAUAUUGGAAAAGAGACAAUGGAGUUUGAGCCAUACAAUAAAUGUUACCAUGUGGAAUGUGAACCACCUGACUAAAUCAGAUGCCUCUAGAGAGGAAAAAAAGGAAACAGCAAAUACCUUUUAUAUCCCUUGGAGCCAUCAAAGGAAGCCUGCAACGCAUGGCAUGAGAUCCUCUCAGGUUUAAUAUCUGAUGUGUUUGCAUCUCUGAUGUGGAGAAAGAUUUCUAAGAGGUCUAACAAUGGGUUAGAUCAUUCCUCUACCUGCGACAAACCUGCACAGGGAACAGGGAACUUCCUUGAGGAGUUUUCUCUGGACCAUUCAAUCAGAGAGGUGUGAGUGCAUAUUUUUCUCUUUCCUCAGCUGCUCCCUUUGGAAUAUACAAGGUGUUCGGACCAGAGAACCAGGAAAUCUCAAGAGAUCUGCCAGAGGCCAGGCAUUUCUGU